rnacentral:rRNA from 1 species
CCUACGGGUGGCAGCAGUGAGGAAUAUUGGUCAAUGGACGAGAGUCUGAACCAGCCAAGUAGCGUGAAGGAUGACUGCCCUAUGGGUUGUAAACUUCUUUUAUAUGGGAAUAAAAUGUUCCACGUGUGGGAUUUUGUAUGUACCAUAUGAAUAAGGAUCGGCUAACUCCGUGCCAGCAGCCGCGGUAAUACGGGGGAUCCGAUCGUUAUCCGGAUUUAUUGGGUUUAAAGGGAGCGUAGGUGUAGUGUUAAGUCAGUUGUGAAAGUUUGCGGCUCAACCGUAAAAUUGCAGUUGAAACUGGCAGUCUUGAGUACAGUAGAGGUGGGCGGAAUGCGUGGUGUAGCGGUGAAAUGCUUAGAUAUCACGAAGAACUCCGAUUGCGAAGGCAGUUCACUGGACUGCAACUGACACUGAGGCUCGAAAGUGUGGGUAUCAAACAGGAUUAGAUACCCUGGUAGUC